GUCGAACGAACUCUGGUAUUGAUUGGUGCUUGCAUCAUGAUUUACAUUUGAGUGAGUGGCGAACUGGUGAGUAACACGUGGGAAACCUGCCCAGAAGCGGGGGAUAACACCUGGAAACAGAUGCUAAUACCGCAUAACAACUUGGACCGCAUGGUCCGAGUUUGAAAGAUGGCUUCGGCUAUCACUUUUGGAUGGUCCCGCGGCGUAUUAGCUAGAUGGUGGGGUAACGGCUCACCAUGGCAAUGAUACGUAGCCGACCUGAGAGGGUAAUCGGCCACAUUGGGACUGAGACACGGCCCAAACUCCUACGGGAGGCAGCAGUAGGGAAUCUUCCACAAUGGACGAAAGUCUGAUGGAGCAACGCCGCGUGAGUGAAGAAGGGUUUCGGCUCGUAAAACUCUGUUGUUAAAGAAGAACAUAUCUGAGAGUAACUGUUCAGGUAUUGACGGUAUUUAACCAGAAAGCCACGGCUAACUACGUGCCAGCAGCCGCGGUAAUACGUAGGUGGCAAGCGUUGUCCGGAUUUAUUGGGCGUAAAGCGAGCGCAGGCGGUUUUUUAAGUCUGAUGUGAAAGCCUUCGGCUCAACCGAAGAAGUGCAUCGGAAACUGGGAAACUUGAGUGCAGAAGAGGACAGUGGAACUCCAUGUGUAGCGGUGAAAUGCGUAGAUAUAUGGAAGAACACCAGUGGCGAAGGCGGCUGUCUGGUCUGUAACUGACGCUGAGGCUCGAAAGUAUGGGUAGCAAACAGGAUUAGAUACCCUGGUAGUCCAUACCGUAAACGAUGAAUGCUAAGUGUUGGAGGGUUUCCGCCCUUCAGUGCUGCAGCUAACGCAUUAAGCAUUCCGCCUGGGGAGUACGGCCGCAAGGCUGAAACUCAAAGGAAUUGACGGGGGCCCGCACAAGCGGUGGAGCAUGUGGUUUAAUUCGAAGCUACGCGAAGAACCUUACCAGGUCUUGACAUACUAUGCAAAUCUAAGAGAUUAGACGUUCCCUUCGGGGACAUGGAUACAGGUGGUGCAUGGUUGUCGUCAGCUCGUGUCGUGAGAUGUUGGGUUAAGUCCCGCAACGAGCGCAACCCUUAUUAUCAGUUGCCAGCAUUAAGUUGGGCACUCUGGUGAGACUGCCGGUGACAAACCGGAGGAAGGUGGGGAUGACGUCAAAUCAUCAUGCCCCUUAUGACCUGGGCUACACACGUGCUACAAUGGAUGGUACAACGAGUUGCGAACUCGCGAGAGUAAGCUAAUCUCUUAAAGCCAUUCUCAGUUCGGAUUGUAGGCUGCAACUCGCCUACAUGAAGUCGGAAUCGCUAGUAAUCGCGGAUCAGCAUGCCGCGGUGAAUACGUUCCCGGGCCUUGUACACACCGCCCGUCACACCAUGAGAGUUUGUAACACCCAAAGUCGGUGGGGUAACCUUUUAGGAACCAGCCGC
rnacentral:rRNA from 3 species